GAUGAACGCUGGCGGCGUGCCUAAUACAUGCAAGUCGAGCGAACAGACGAGGAGCUUGCUCCUCUGACGUUAGCGGCGGACGGGUGAGUAACACGUGGAUAACCUACCUAUAAGACUGGGAUAACUUCGGGAAACCGGAGCUAAUACCGGAUAAUAUAUUGAACCGCAUGGUUCAAUAGUGAAAGACGGUUUUGCUGUCACUUAUAGAUGGAUCCGCGCCGCAUUAGCUAGUUGGUAAGGUAACGGCUUACCAAGGCAACGAUGCGUAGCCGACCUGAGAGGGUGAUCGGCCACACUGGAACGGAGACACGGUCCAGGCUCCUACGGGAGGCAGCAGUAGGGAAUCUUCCGCAAUGGGCGGAAGCCUGACGGAGCAACGCCGCGUGAGUGAUGAAGGUCUUCGGAUCGUAAAACUCUGUUAUUAGGGAAGAACAAAUGUGUAAGUAACUAUGGACGUCUUGACGGUACCUAAUCAGAAAGCAACGGCUAACUACGUG
rnacentral:rRNA from 1 species